ACAUGAUGUAAAAUCUAUUUUUAGAGAACAGCCACUUCGAUAGAAACCCUCCUCCAUCUUCCAUUUCUGUUCUUCGGAAAAUCCCUCACCAUCUCCAUUUAUCUUCUUCGAGAAAACCCCUCUAUUGUUAGAAGAAAUUGAUCUUGCAUCGUCUCAGUUGAGCGUCCCACCUCUGUUGCUGGAGAAGCUCAGUCAUUCGAAGAAGACUGCUCUGUUUUUCGAGUGAAAUCGCGGCCGUGGGAAGGUUGAGCUAAAAAUCGAAGAGAACCCAGGAUUUCCUAAUUUUUAUGGAAUAUUGAUUGUUCUUCUCGUUGGUAGGCUCUUCUAUUCUGAAACUUUUUACUUUUUUACAUUAGAGGGAACUUUGAAAUCGAAGUGGGUCUCAAGAAAUUGAAGUGGGCAUUGGUACUGUUUUUAUGGCGAUGGAAAAUUCCGAUUCCGCUCAUUCGGUUCCUCCUCCAGCUCCUAUAUCUGAGAAAAAGGAGAAUCUGACGCCGAUUAACCCUAAGUUUGCGGAAUUGGCUGAAUCACGGCAGGAGCUUCUCAGUAGAAUUCAGAAUCUGAAGCAGGACCUGCAAAACUGGAGGAUGAAGCUGGACGCUGAAGUCAAGGUUUACCGCGAUGAGCUCUCAGAGGUAAAGAAAAUCACUCAAUCCUGAAGUGGAACAACUCCGGACAGAAUUUCAAGAACCGAGGACCAGUCUCCAACAGCAGCUGGAGGAUGUCACAGCCAACCUAAGAGAUUUAGGGGAUGAAUUUCGAGAAACAAUAGGGGCUGAAGGUGCAAAAAACGUGGAAAACAAGAAGGAGCUGAUGAUGGUGCCAAAGGAGAUUGAAAGCCAUUAUACUAAUGCUACGGAGGUGGAUAAACACCCAGUUACUGUAGUUUCUGGAUGAUGAUGAAAGGCACGGAUCCUAGCAUCCUCAAUAUUUGGUUGGAAUCUCGCACCUGUGGAAAAGGCAUUGAGGAUGAUGAUGAUACAAUGGACUUACAUAUGCUGUUGGAUGGCUUUUCCGGAUGCUUGUUGGGUGUGGAUGUUGUUGUUGGAUUUAAAUGAAUGGUCUCUUUGUCUAAGAAGCCAUAGGUAGAAAGAAGCAAGGAAUUUAAGGACUAAGUUUUUAAGAAUGCAAUGGGAGAGGAAAUAUGGACGGAUGACACACGAACAGGGAAGCAGAGAGUUGAAAAUAUAAUUGCAGACAUCUUCUUUGUACAGGAAAAAGAAGAAAUAAAAAAGCUCAAGAGUGGAUUGAUAGAGGAAAGAGAAAAAAAUGAAACAAAUGGAGGAGGAAUUCAAUCACGAGAAAGAGCAACUAAGGUUGAAAAAGGAGAAGGUAACUUCUCUAAGUCGGAAGUUGGAAGGGCUCAUAAGUCGUCUACCUACACUCAUAAUUUGACAAUGGCAACUCAAUCAUGCAGAUGUGAAAGAAGGUGAUCGAGAAGCUACUUUUGUCUCCCGCGUGUAUAUAUUGGACGUUUGUAUGCAAUUUUCAUCUUUUGGAUUGAUAUUGACAUGGUUAAGAAUUGUGUAAUGGCUAUAGCAUUGAUUGAUGCUUACUCCAAUUAUUUAGUUGGUGGUGUGUUUGUUUAUGUUGGAAUUAGACUAUUGCACUUUUUGUCACGUUAAA